rnacentral:rRNA from 1 species
CUGACGUUAGCGGCGGACGGGUGAGUAACACGUGGGUAACCUACCUAUAAGACUGGGAUAACUCCGGGAAACCGGGGCUAAUACCGGAUAACACAUGAAACCGCAUGGUUUCAUGAUGAAAGACGGUUUUGCUGUCACUUAUAGAUGGACCCGCGGCGUAUUAGCUAGUUGGUAAGGUAACGGCUUACCAAGGCAACGAUACGUAGCCGACCUGAGAGGGUGAUCGGCCACACUGGAACUGAGACACGGUCCAGACUCCUACGGGAGGCAGCAGUG